rnacentral:lncRNA from 1 species
CUCUGCAAAGAUCUUUGUGUGUCUGGCUCUGGGGUGUGUGUUUUUAUUUUUUUAGUGGGGGGUGGUUUAGUUUUUGAAAGCAGCGUCCUGUUGGGAAAGGUGGUUAGUCUGGUUUCGGGGCGACUGUCUCAAGGUAAAGGAAUUUAAUUUAUUUGGGACAAGGCUGUGUCGGAUGAUCAAGCUGCUUAUUAUGGCUAAUGAGUAUUUUUCACCUGAGAAUCUGUGGGAUGAGGUGGCUGUUAUCAGUUCAAAGUGAGGGGCCCCGGACUGUCUCCCACCUGCCUCUUUAGCCCCCACCCUAGGGGUGGUGAUGGACCAGACAGACUACUCAACGUAGGCAUCUGGGUUUGGGGGCCUCCUGUGGGACAAGGCCGGGGGCUCCAGGAGGCCUGGUGCUCACCUGGGGCAGUUUAUCCUGAUAUUUUGGUGUUUUCUUGGGUUUAAUCUAAUUCUUUCCAGUGUUUUUGCCUUCAGCUCUUGCGGGCUUCCCAUGGGCCCUGGCUAUUGAAACCAAAUUUUGACCAGGACCCUCACGUGCUAGGUUGACAAAAGCAGCUGUCUUCUUAAAUGUUUUAAAAGAAACAAGCAGCCCGAUCAUUCAUUGAGACUGAUCUCUGAACUCUCCUGGUUCAUUGAUGGGAUAGGUGAUACUGGUGGCUGUUAGCGUUGUUGUUUAUAAUAGGCCCAAGUUCACAGCAUCGGCCCUUGGGACCCAUGAGCUGAUAUCUGACCUUCUAAAGGUCAGUGGGCAGAGAGACCGGAGGCAGCCCUGAGGGGAUGAGGAUGGGUGGCACGGUGGCCGGUGAAGAAGGGCCUGUGUUUGUUGGGGGGAGGUGUCAUUUGCAGAGUUUGAGGACUGUGUGACACCAGGUGUGAUCUUGGCUGGUCUGACGUGGAGGGCCUGGGGACCUCUGCGCCCGGGAAGGGUGUGACACCCCCUGCUGGGCAAAGUGGUAAAGGUGUCUAAGGCCAAGGCUGCCACCCUGCCCCUCCCUGCCCUCCACUCCCACAGAGAACCUGCCUGCCCCCACCUCCAGUCGGUGUCUCAUCACCUCCCUCUCAGGCCCCACCCCCUUUCUUCGGAAAUGGGGCCCCCACCCAUCCCAGCCAAGAAGCAGACCUCAGAGAUGGGCCUGGUGGCAAUGCACCACCCCUUACCUGGGGCAGGAGAGCCUCUGCUUGUGGGCCAGCACACAGGACCCAGGCAUUGCAGAGCUGGAAGGCAGGCCCUCUGGUCGGCCUCCUCCUAACCUGGGUGCCAGCUGGAGCCAGCGUCCAUCCUCCUGCCAUCCACCAACCAGUCCCUCCAAGUCUGUCGUGGGGACAGUACUCCAAAGCCCUUCUCUAGGGUGUCCUGACUGGAGCGAGGGCCUCCCAGCCCUGGUAGGAGGCAGGUGGCAGAGCCUCUUGUGGCUUCUCUCCUGGGCCUUAGGGAGACUGACUUCUCCCAGCACUCCAGGGACAGGCUCUGGAAACUUUUCCUAGAAGCUAGAAGGGACCCUGAGGUCAGCUGCUUCCUCCUGUAGCUGGAGUAGAGCACUCCCAGUGGGACUCAGGCCUGGACUCUGGCCACUCAGAGGGGAGGCCCAGGGUGGCAGAGUUCUGACUGUUUCCUGGAGGAGUCAUCUGGUGAUACCAUCUCAGUCUCUUCUUUGAACUUGGAAGUUUCACUUAUAAUCUCAGAACUUCAGAAGAAAAGCAGUCUUCCCCCCACUUCACCAAAAAAGGGAAGCAGAUGAGGACGCUGAGAUCCCCUCUGAGCUGGUCCCUGGGCUGACUCCAUGCUCAUCUUCAGGAGCUGGGAACAGCUCCCUCAACUUCAUAGUGCACACGGCAUACAGCUGGGGCCAUGGGCCUCGUCUCUGGCCGGGGCUCGUGGCUGGUGAAGUGAGGGUCCCUUCCUCUGGGGCAGCGUGGGCAGCUUCAGCCGAGGGCCUCUCUGACAUAGUCCAAGGCCAGGGGCGCAGGCCUCGAAGGGCUGCUGGCAUCAUGGACCCACCAUGCCUCCCUGAUCAGGCCCGAGUGUCCCCAAGACCCAGUCCUCGGCUUAGAACUGUCCCCAGCCCUUGGUCCCCUGGGCAACAGGCUGUCCCAGGUAAAACAGGAAGGAGAAAGGUGAGAGGGGGCGUGAUACAAGCCCCCCCAGGGCUGCCCCAUAGUUGGUGUGUGACCUGUUUCCAGGCCCCACCUCGUGCUCCCUUGGUAGGGGCGGGGGAUGAUUUCUGACAUUGGUUUGAGCUCUAGAAUUUUUUUUCUGCCAACUUUAUCAGAAAGCAUAUUUGUGGUGAGUGCUGCUAACAGGGCCAGUCCAGUGAGUAAAUAUUCCUGGUGUGGACGGCCCUGUGACCUUGAGAGGGAAGAGUACAGUGGUUCGGCCAAGGGCAUGUAAGGAGAGGAGAGGACGGCCAGGCGCCCACAGGCCCCCGUGCUGGGUGGGGGGCCCUUCCUG